rnacentral:rRNA from 1 species
UGAGGGAAAGCUGCAAAGUACUCUGAAGAGAGAGUUCAAAAGGACGUGAAGCCGUCUGCAGGGAAACGGGUGAGACCGCACGGUAGACCCGCGGCGGAUUCAGCUCCGGGGGCGAAAGCCCUCGGGGUGCACUUCCGCGCCUGCGGGUCGCGCAGGGCCCGACUCGACGGCCGUCUGAAGCCCGGCGAGGAGGUAACGGGGUCCUUCGCGGGAUUCCGGGUUUAACUCGUCGGCGCGGAGACCGGCUGUUGGGUCGAGGAACGUCCAUCCGUCUCCGACUUCGUUCGCGAGGCGCGUGGG